rnacentral:rRNA from 1 species
UGGAUCCAGACUUUGAUUAUGGCUCAGGAUAAACGCUGGCGGCGCACAUAAGACAUGCAAGUCGAACGGACAGAAACCUUAGUUUACUAUGGUGGAUGUUAGUGGCGGGCUGGUGAGUAACACGUAAGCAACCUGCCUAUCAGAGGGGAACAACAGUUAGAAAUGACUGCUAAUACCGCAUAUGCCUAAGCAUCACAUGAUGCAAUAGGGAAAGGAGAAAUCCGCUGAUAGAUGGGCUUGCGUCUGAUUAGCUAGUUGGUGGGGUAAAGGCCUACCAAGGCGACGAUCAGUAGCCGGACUGAGAGGUUGAACGGCCACAUUGGGACUGAGAUACGGCCCAGACUCCUACGGGAGGCAGCAGUCGGGAAUAUUGCGCAAUGGAGGAAACUCUGACGCAGUGACGCCGCGUGCAGGAAGAAGGUUUUCGGAUUGUAAACUGCUUUAGACAGGGAAGAAACAGGACAGUACCUGUAGAAUAAGCUCCGGCUAACUACGUGCCAGCAGCCGCGGUAAUACGUAGGGAGCGAGCGUUAUCCGGAUUUAUUGGGUGUAAAGGGUGCGUAGACGGGAGAACAAGUUAGUUGUGAAAUCCCUCAGCUUAACUGAGGAACUGCAACUAAAACUAUUUUUCUUGAGUACUGGAGAGGAAAGUGGAAUUCCUAGUGUAGCGGUGAAAUGCGUAGAUAUUAGGAGGAACACCAGUGGCGAAGGCGACUUUCUGGACAGAAACUGACGUUGAGGCACGAGAGUGUGGGGAGCAAACAGGAUUAGAUACCCUGGUAGUCCACACCGUAAACGAUGGAUACUAGGUGUAGGGGAUAAUAAAUUCACUGUGCCGUCGCAAACGCAAUAAGUAUCCCACCUGGGGAGUACGGCCGCAAGGUUGCAACUCAAAGGAAUUGACGGA